CUAUGGUGGCUCUCAUUUGAGCUUCAAACCGAGCGGGAAACGGAAAAUGACUUCCAGGCUAGCACAUUCCCGGGAUCUCUUUCCGGUUAGCCCGGGGGUGUCCGCGUGAGAGUUGGAGAUUUCAUGCUGCCGGGGCUGGGAGGUGCUAGUCCACCGCGCUUGAUUCGAGAGGUGUCCCAGCUGAGAGACUAGGAUGUCGGACACGUGGAGCUCUAUCCAGGCCCACAAAAAGCAGCUAGACUCGCUGCGAGAGAGGUUGCAGCGGAGGCGGAAGCAGGACUCCGGGCACUUGGAUCUACGAAAUCCAGAGGCAGCACUGUCUCCCACCUUCCGCAGUGACAGCCCGGUGCCUACUGCACCCACUUCUGGUGGCCCUAAGCCCAGCACAGCUUCAGCAGUUCCUGAGCUAGCUACAGACCCUGAAUUAGAGAAGAAAUUGCUACACCACCUCUCUGAUCUGGCCUUAACAUUGCCCACUGAUGCUGUGUCCAUCCGUCUUGCCAUCUCCACGCCAGAUGCCCCUGCCACUCAAGAUGGGGUAGAAAGCCUCCUACAGAAGUUUGCAGCUCAGGAGCUGAUUGAGGUAAAACGAGGUCUCUUACAAGAUGACGCACAUCCCACUCUUGUGACCUAUGCUGAUCAUUCCAAACUCUCUGCCAUGAUGGGCGCUGUGGCAGAAAAGAAGGGCCCUGGGGAGGUAACAGGGACUAUCACAGGGCAGAAGCGGCGUGCAGAGCAGGACUCAGCCACAGUAGCUGCCUUUGCUAGCUCUUUGGCCUCUGGCCUGGCCUCUUCAGCAUCAGAAGCAGCCAAGGAGCCAACCAAGAAAUCGAGGAAACAUGCUGCCUCGGAUGUUGAUCUGGAGAUAGAGAGCCUUCUGAACCAACAGUCUACUAAGGAACAACAGAGCAAGAAGGUCAGUCAGGAGAUCCUAGAGCUAUUAAACACAACAACAGCCAAGGAACAGUCCAUUGUUGAAAAGUUUCGAUCACGAGGUCGGGCCCAAGUACAGGAGUUCUGUGACUAUGGAACCAAGGAGGAGUGCAUGAAAGCCAGUGAUGCUGACCGGCCCUGCCGCAAGCUGCACUUCAGACGAAUUAUCAAUAAACACACUGAUGAAUCAUUAGGUGACUGCUCUUUCCUUAACACAUGUUUCCACAUGGAUACCUGCAAAUAUGUUCACUAUGAAAUUGAUGCUUGCAUGGAUUCUGAGGCUCCUGGGAGCAAAGACCAUACACCUAGCCAAGAGCUUGCUCUUACACAGAGUGUUGGAGGGGACUCCAAUGCAGAUCGACUCUUCCCUCCUCAGUGGAUCUGUUGUGAUAUCCGCUACCUGGACGUCAGUAUCUUGGGCAAGUUUGCAGUUGUGAUGGCUGACCCACCCUGGGAUAUUCACAUGGAGCUGCCCUAUGGGACCCUGACAGAUGAUGAGAUGCGCAGGCUCAACAUACCAGUACUGCAGGAUGAUGGCUUUCUCUUCCUCUGGGUCACAGGCAGGGCCAUGGAGUUGGGCAGAGAGUGUCUGAACCUCUGGGGUUACGAACGGGUAGAUGAAAUUAUCUGGGUGAAGACAAAUCAACUGCAGCGCAUCAUUCGGACAGGCCGUACAGGUCACUGGUUGAACCAUGGGAAGGAACACUGCUUGGUUGGUGUCAAAGGAAAUCCCCAAGGCUUCAACCAAGGUCUGGAUUGCGAUGUGAUCGUAGCUGAGGUAUGUGCUUCCCCAGGCAUCCAAACCUUCCACACUGUUCAAGCCAGGUUCGUUCUACCAGUCAUAAACCAGAUGAAAUCUAUGGCAUGAUUGAGAGACUAUCCCCUGGCACUCGCAAGAUUGAGUUAUUUGGACGACCACACAAUGUGCAGCCCAACUGGAUCACCCUUGGAAACCAACUGGAUGGGAUUCACCUGUUAGACCCAGAUGUGGUUGCCCGGUUCAAGCAAAGGUAUCCAGAUGGUAUCAUCUCUAAGCCUAAAAAUCUAUAGAAGCACUUCCUUAUAGAGCUAAGCACCUACACCCAUGGCUCUGCAGGCUGCAUCUGAAGAGUAAUAUUUGUACAAUAGUUUUUUUCCCUCCCUUAUUUAAAUAAAAGUUUGUAUUGUA